GCAGAGGGGCGGGCCAAAGAUUUGUUUCCGAUUCAGCCUCUGUCUCCUUCUCUUCAUGAUCAUGAUGGCAGCCGGCGCGGAAGAACCUUUCCCUUACCAUGGGUUGUUGCCCAAGAAAGAGACCGGCGCUGCGGGCUUCCUGACCCGGUACCCGCAGUAUGACGGCCGCGGAGUCCUGAUAGCGAUAUUAGACACUGGGGUGGACCCCGGGGCUCCAGGCAUGCAGCAAACAACAGAUGGGAAGCCAAAGAUUAUAGACAUUAUUGACACAACGGGAAGUGGUGAUGUGAAUACCAGCACUGUUCUUGAGCCAAAAGAUGGAGUACUUGUAGGCCUUUCUGGAAGAACGUUAAAGAUUCCCACAAGAUGGAUAAAUCCUUCUGGCAAAUAUCACAUUGGUAUGAAAAAUGGUUUUGACUUUUACCCUAAGGCACUGAAGGAGCGCUUGCAGAAAGAGCGUAAAGAGAAGCUUUGGGAUCCUAUCCAUCGAGCUGUACUAUCUGAAGCCUGCAAGAAACAGGAAGAGUUUGACACAAACUCCAAUGCUCAAGCUCAGGCAGGGAAACUAAUAAAAGAAGAUCUACAGAGCCAGGUGGAAAUGUUAAACUCCUUUGAAAAAAAAUACUGCGACCCUGGUCCUGUGUAUGAUUGUUUGGUAUGGCAUGAUGGUGAAACCUGGAGGGCUUGUAUGGAUACAAGUGAAUGUGGAAAUUUGGAAGCUUGUAUUGUUUUGGGGAACUACAGAGAAACACAAGAAUUUGGAUCCUUUGGUACAGCAGAAAUGCUGAAUUAUUCUGUAAAUAUUUAUGAGGAAGGCAACCUACUUUCAGUUGUGACUAGUGGAGGUGCACAUGGUACACAUGUUGCCAGCAUUGCUGCAGGAUAUUUCCCUGAUGAGCCUGAAAGAAAUGGAGUAGCUCCUGGAGCGCAGAUUCUUGCAAUAAAAAUUGGCGACACUAGGCUUAGUACCAUGGAGACUGGCACAGGUCUCAUUAGAGCGAUGAUUGAAGCAAUAAAAUACAAAUGUGAUCUUAUCAAUUAUAGCUAUGGUGAAGCAACACACUGGCCUAAUUCUGGGAGAAUAUGUGAAGCAAUUAAUGAAGCAGUGUGGAAACACAACAUCAUAUAUGUUUCCAGUGCUGGAAACAACGGUCCGUGCCUUACUACAGUAGGCUGCCCAGGUGGAACUACUUCCAGUGUAAUAGGUGUUGGUGCAUAUGUUUCACCGGAUAUGAUGGUGGCAGAGUACUCCCUUCGAGAGAAAUUGCCUGCUAAUCAGUAUACUUGGUCCUCCAGAGGUCCUAGUACUGAUGGAGCCUUAGGUGUUUGCAUAAGUGCCCCAGGAGGAGCUAUCGCUUCUGUGCCAAAUUGGACUCUAAGGGGAACUCAGCUUAUGAAUGGAACGUCAAUGUCUUCUCCUAAUGCAUGUGGAGCCAUUGCUCUAGUAUUGUCAGGUCUAAAAGAUAAUGGCAUUCAGUAUACUGUACAUUCAGUGAGAAGAGCACUGGAAAAUACUGCAAUGAAGGCUGAAAACAUUGAAGUCUUUGCCCAAGGACAUGGGAUUAUUCAGGUUGACAAAGCAUAUGACUACCUCAUGCAGAAUGCAUCACUUAUCAGUAAAAUUGGAUUUACAGUUACCGUUGGGAACAGUCGUGGAAUCUACCUCAGGGAUCCUGUCCAGGUUGCUGCACCUUCAGAUCAUGGUGUGGGCAUUGAGCCAGUGUUUCCAGAAAACACAGAAAAUUCUGAACGAAUAUCGCUACAACUUCAUUUAGCCCUGACAUCUAAUGCAUCCUGGGUCCAGUAUCCUAGCCAUUUAGAAUUGAUGAAUCAAUGCAGACACAUUAACGUGCGCGUAGAUCCACGUGGCCUACGAGAAGGGGCACAUUAUACUGAGAUAUGUGGCUAUGAUGUAUCUGCACUGAAUUCUGGACCCUUGUUUAGAGUACCUAUUACAGUCAUCAUUCCCACACAGCUGAGUGCUGCUGCAGAGUGUGAUGUGGAGUGUAAAGAUGUACAUUUCAAGCCUGGCCAGAUUAAGCGGCACUUCAUUGAUGUUCCUCAGGGUGCCACGUGGGCAGAGGUCACAGUUUCUUCUCGCUCUUUGGAUGUGUCCUCCAAGUUUGUUUUGCAUGCAGUUCAGCUAGUGAAACAAAAAGCAUACAGAAGCCAUGAAUUCUACAAAUUUUCUUCUUUGCCAGAAAAAGGUUCUGUAACUGAAGCAUUUCCUGUGCUGAGUGGCAAAACUAUAGAAUUUUGCAUUGCACGCUGGUGGGCUAGCCUUAGUGAUGUUAGCAUUGAUUAUUCUAUAUCGUUUCAUGGACUUUCCUGUGGAAUGCCUCAACUAAACAUUCAUGCAUCAGAAGGGAUCUCUAGGUUUGAUGUGCAUUCUGCAUUAAGAUAUGAAGAUCUAUCUCCAAGUAUUAGCUUGAAAAACUGGGUGCAAACUUUAAGACCUGUCAGUGCCAAAACCAGACCAUUAGGAUCCCGUGAUAUUUUGCCAAAUAAUCGACAGUUAUAUGAGAUAAUUUUAAUUUACAACUUUCACCAGCCUAAAAGUGGAGAAGUGACACCAAGCUGUCCUUUACUUUGUGAGUUGUUGUAUGAAUCUGAAUUUGACAGCCAGCUUUGGAUGAUGUAUGAUCAGAACAAAAGACAAAUGGGCUCAGGAGAUGCAUACCCACAUCAGUAUUCAGUGAAACUGGAGAAGGGGGAUUAUACCAUCCGAAUGCAAGUUCGUCAUGAGCAAAUAAGUGAAUUAGAGCGCUUGAAAGACCUGCCAUUUGUAGUCUCUCACAGAAUGUCCAAUACUUUAAGUCUAGAUAUAUACGAAACCCACAGCAUGGCCCUCUUGGGAAAGAAAAAGGCAAAUAGCCAAACGUUACCACCAAAAUAUAGCCAGCCAUUCUUUGUUACAAUGCUGCCUGAUGACAAAAUACCUAAAGGUGCUGGGCCAGGUUGUUACCUUGCUGGUACUCUGACACUUUCCAAAACGGAACUGGGCAAGAAAGCUGGGCAGUCUGCAGCAAAGCGACAAGGAAAGUUUAAAAAGGAUGUGAUUUCAGUUCACUAUCACUUGAUCCCACCUUCAUCAAAACCUAAGAAUGGGACCAAGGAAAAAGAAAAGGAGGCAGAAAAAGAAAAAGAUGUUAAGGAGGAGUAUGCUGAAGCGCUUAGAGACUUAAAGAUUCAAUGGAUGUCAAAGCUUGAAAGCAGUGAUAUCUUUACUGACUUAAAAGAGGCAUAUCCAAAUCAUCUUCCUCUGUACGUGGCAAGACUGCAUCAGUUGGAUUCUGAGAAGGAUCGGCUAAAAAGAAUACAUGAAAUCCUUGAAGCAUCUAAUGAUGUUAUCUUGCGCAUUGACCAAACUGCUCUUGCGGUCUUUCUUGCAAUGAAGACUGAUCCAAGGCCAGAUGCAGCCACAAUAAAAAAGUACCUAACCAUGACAUGGACAAGCAGAAAAGUACGUUGAUUGAUGCUCUGUGUCGGAAAGGCUGCGCACUUGCCGAUAAAUUGAUUCAUCUUCAGUCUGAAGAAGGAGCUGCUUCAGGUGAUGCAGAAAAGAAGGAAGACGAUCAAGAAGCCAUUUCUGAUGCCUUAAAUGAGACCUACUGGGAAGUGGUCAAAUGGGCUGACCUCAGUGAUUCAAAGGUUCUUCCGUUCGUCUAUAAGCAUGCCUUAGCAAAUAAACUGUAUGGUCGGGGCAUAAAGUUUGCAACAAAACUUGUUGAAGAGAAACCUACGAAAGAAAACUGGAAGAACUGUAUCCAGAUAAUGAAGUUUCUGGGAUGGACUCACAGUGCAUCAUUUACAGAAAACUGGAUGCCAGUCAUGUACCCUCCUGAUUAUUCAGUUUUCUAGAACAAUACGUUUUUUUUACCAGGAUCUUCUAACCAGACAUCUGUAUGUUUUUAUUUUUCUCUUUUCAAAAGCAUGUUUUCAUCAAUGAAUGACCAUUAUUAAACGGCGUAUUUAUCAGCAAGUGCACAAUGUGACCCAUUGUGUGUUUCAGAAUGGGAUUCUUGCAUGUCUAGUUGGUUCUUUUAAAUGUGACGCGUGUAAAAGAGCUGGAUUUUACAGUAAAACUUUUAAGAUUCUGUGUUGCCAUGGUUAUGAAGGCCUUAUAUGUUCAGAAUGAUUAUUACAUUUACAUUUUAUUUAUUAGACAAUAAGUGUUUACAUUAUAAUGGAAAUAUCACCUCUCCAAUCAUUCCUAAAAUGAAAUAAUAGAUUUUUUUUUUUUUUUACACUGGUGGGGAAACUCUUCAUUUAACAGAGUAUAUGCUUUUACAGACCUUUAACUUUUUUUAUGACAUCUGCCAUACAGAUUUAUUGAGGCAAAACCAACAUUUUAUUUGCAAAAUAAACUGUUGACAAUACACAUAUAAUGCUUCUGAUCAAUACACAUAUAAUGCUUCUGAAUCAGGUAUUGUAAAGUGAUACAUGUGUAUUUAUCAAACUAUAAUAACAUAAUGUAAGAUAAAAACGGUGCACAGAACAAAGAUGUAACACACACUGCUAUUUUAAGAUUUUUUUUUACAACAAUAAAAUACGCAAUCUCAGUU